rnacentral:rRNA from 1 species
ACGGGGUGCUUAGGCAUCUAGUGGCGGACGGGUGAGUAACGCGUGAGAAUCUGGCUCCAGGUCGGGGAUAACAGUUGGAAACGACUGCUAAUACCGGAUGUGCCGAGAGGUGAAAGAUUUAUUGCCUGGAGAUGAGCUCGCGUCUGAUUAGCUAGUUGGUGGUGUAAGGGACCACCAAGGCGUCGAUCAGUAGCUGGUCUGAGAGGAUGAUCAGCCACACUGGGACUGAGACACGGCCCAGACUCCUACGGGAGGCAGCAGUGGGGAAUUUUCCGCAAUGGGCGAAAGCCUGACGGAGCAAUACCGCGUGAGGGAGGAAGGCUCUUGGGUCGUAAACCUCUUUUCUCAAGGAAGAAGAAAGUGACGGUACUUGAGGAAUAAGCAUCGGCUAACUCCGUGCCAGCAGCCGCGGUAAUACGGAGGAUGCAAGCGUUAUCCGGAAUGAUUGGGCGUAAAGGGUCUGCAGGUGGAACUGAAAGUCUGCUGUUAAAGAGUUUGGCUUAACCAAAUAAAAGCGGUGGAAACUACAGAACUAGAGUGUGGUAGGGGCAAAAGGAAUUCCUGGUGUAGCGGUGAAAUGCGUAGAUAUCAGGAAGAACACCGGUGGCGAAAGCGUUUUGCUAGACCAUAACUGACACUGAGGGACGAAAGCUAGGGGAGCGAAUGGGAUUAGAUACCCCAGUAGUCCUAGCCGUAAACGAUGGAUACUAGGCGUGGC